rnacentral:sRNA from 19 species
GCGCUGGCGGGGAGUUGUGCCGCUGUGUUCCCUUGCUGUGUCUUGAAGGAGAGCGACGACAAAGACACAGACAGCGC